GAGAGAGAGAGAGAGAGAUUGUUUGAGGUAGAGAGAAAGAAAGAUAGUGUGUGUAUGUGAGGGUGAGAGAUGAGAGAGGCGGAGAUAGAUAAAAGAGAGGGAUAAUGGGUGGGAUUGGAGAGGGAAACAUAGUCAGUUUACAUUUUUUUUUUCUCUAAAUUUUGCGCUUCAAGAGGAUUAAUGGGAAACUAGUUAUAAUGGGUAAGGGAUUUUAUGUUCACCCAAUUGAAGUUGAGGGGUUUCUUUUUACAAUUUGAAAUUUACCCUUUGUUUGAAAUAAGAUUUUUAAAGUAAUGGAUUGUGUUUGGGAGAGUAUACAGUUUUUUAUAGUAAUGUUUUUGGAGGGUUUUUUAAACCUCAACUUUCCUACCCACCAAAUUAGUAGAUUAAGGGCUUGUUUGGUAUU
rnacentral:misc_RNA from 1 species